rnacentral:rRNA from 1 species
GACGAACGCUGGCGGCGUGCUUAACACAUGCAAGUCGAACGGAAGGGCCCUGCUUUUGUGGGGUGCUCGAGUGGCGAACGGGUGAGUAAAACGUGAGUAACCUGCCCUUGACUUUGGGAUAACUUCAGGAAACUGGGGCUAAUACCGGAUAGGAGCUCCUGCUGCAUGGUGGGGGUUGGAAAGUUUCGGCGGUUGGGGAUGGGCUCGCGGCUUAUCAGCUUGUUGGUGGGGUAGUUGCUUACCAAGGCUUUGACGGGUAGCCGGCCUUGGAGGUUGACCGGCCACAUUGGGACUGAGAUACGGCCCAGACUGCUACGGGAGGCAGCAGUGGGGAAUAUUGCACAAUGGGCGGAAGCCUGAUGCAGCAACGCCGCGUGCGGGAUGACGGCCUUCGGGUUGUAAACCGCUUUCGCCUGUGACGAAGCGUGAGUGACGGUAAUGGGUAAAGAAGCACCGGCUAACUACGUG